rnacentral:rRNA from 1 species
UACAGAGGGGGCAAGCGUUGUUCGGAAUUACUGGGCGUAAAGGGCGCGUAGGCGGCCUGCUAAGUCGAACGUGAAAUCCCCGAGCUCAACUCGGGAACUGCGUCCGAUACUGGCAGGCUUGAAUCCGGGAGAGGGAUGCGGAAUUCCAGGUGUAGCGGUGAAAUGCGUAGAUAUCAGGAGGAACACCGGUGGCGAAGGCGGGUCUCUGGGCCGAUACUGACGCUGAGGAGCGAAAGCGUGGGGAGCGAACAGG